UACGGAGGGUGCAAGCGUUAUCCGGAAUCACUGGGUUUAAAGGGUGCGUAGGUGGCGUCGUAAGUCAGAAGUGAAAGUUUGCGGCUUAACCGUAAAAUUGCUUUUGAUACUGCAAUGCUUGAAUCAGGUUGAGGUUGGCGGAAUGUGGCAUGUAGCGGUGAAAUGCUUAGAUAUGCCAUAGAACACCGAUUGCGAAGGCAGCUGACUGGACCUGUAUUGACGCUGAGGCACGAAAGCGUGGGGAGCGAACAGG
rnacentral:rRNA from 1 species